GACGAACGCUGGCGGCGUGCCUAAUACAUGCAAGUAGAACGCUGAAGAGAGGAGCUUGCUCUUCUUGGAUGAGUUGCGAACGGGUGAGUAACGCGUAGGUAACCUGCCUUGUAGCGGGGGAUAACUAUUGGAAACGAUAGCUAAUACCGCAUAACAAUGGAUGACACAUGUCAUUUAUUUGAAAGGGGCAAUUGCUCCACUACAAGAUGGACCUGCGUUGUAUUAGCUAGUAGGUGAGGUAAUGGCUCACCUAGGCGACGAUACAUAGCCGACCUGAGAGGGUGAGCGGCCACACUGGGACUGAGACACGGCCCAGACUCCUACGGGAGGCAGCAGUAGGGAAUCUUCGGCAAUGGGGGCAACCCUGACCGAGCAACGCCGCGUGAGUGAAGAAGGUUGUCGGAUCGUAAAGCUCUGUUGUAAGUCAAGAACGGGUGUGAGAGUGGAAAGUUCACACUGUGACGGUAGCUGACCAGAAAGGGACGGCUAACUACGUG
rnacentral:rRNA from 1 species